CGAGUCUUAACUGGGCGAAUGAGUUGCAGGGUAUAGACCCGAAACCCGGUGAUCUAGCCAUGGGCAGGUUGAAGGUUGGGUAACACUAACUGGAGGACCGAACCGACUAAUGUUGAAAAAUUAGCGGAUGACUUGUGGCUGGGGGUGAAAGGCCAAUCAAACCGGGAGAUAGCUGGUUCUCCCCGAAAGCUAUUUAGGUAGCGCCUCGUGAACUCAUCUUCGGGGGUAGAGCACUGUUUCGACUAGGGGGUCAUCCCGACUUACCAACUCGAUGCAAACUACGAAUACCGAAGAAUGUUAUCACGGGAGACACACGGCGGGUGCUAACGUUCGUCGUGAAGAGGGAAACAACCCAGACCGCCAGCUAAGGUCCCAAAGUCAUAGUUAAGUGGGAAACGAAGUGGGAAGGCUCAGACAGCCAGGAUGUUGGCUUAGAAGCAGCCAUCAUUUAAAGAAAGCGUAAUAGCUCACUGGUCGAGUCGGCCUGCGCGGAAGAUGUAACGGGGCUAAACUAU
rnacentral:rRNA from 1 species